UACAGAGGGUGCAAGCGUUGUUCGGAAUUACUGGGCGUAAAGGGUUCGUAGGCGGUGUGGCAAGUCGGGAGUGAAAUCUCUGGGCUUAACUCAGAGGCUGCUUCCGAAACUGCCGUGCUAGAGUGCGGGAGAGGCGAGUGGAAUUGCAGGUGUAGCGGUGAAAUGCGUAGAUAUCUGCAGGAACACCCGUGGCGAAGGCGGCUCGCUGGACCGCAACUGACGCUGAGGAACGAAAGCUAGGGGAGCAAACAGG
rnacentral:rRNA from 1 species